rnacentral:lncRNA from 1 species
GCUACAUCUCCAACAAAAUGUGUUUCUCAAAAUUGACAUGAUGAAUGUAUAAAUUUUCUUGCCAUCCAAAAAACAAGACUCGACUUGGCCAGCCUGCACAAACUGCAGUCAUGGAACAGUCCAACUCACCUUUACACCUCUAUCUAGAUAUGAAUCAAGUUUGCACAAACUCCUCUUGUGGCUCAAGACUUUUGUUUCUCCUCCGUUCUCUAGUUGCCAUUCUGUCACCAUACCUUUCAAAUAUAUAUGCUAAAUCAAACAAACCAAACUCUCUCAAUUUCUCGGCCAUCACUUCAAACAUAAUUACACCUUCCUCAUUUGAAAAAUAAUGCAAUAACAUAUUGUAGUCAAAUCUCGGCACCUCAAGUCCUCU